GGGCGAUAAUCGCAAUUUCCCACAUUUGGGGCGUUACAUCCAUUGCAGACGACUUUGGCGCAACCAGGUAUUGUAAGUGCGAGAGUAGGCUUGUCCUACGAUCCACUAAGAUUUAGCCUGCGUUGCACGAUGUGU
rnacentral:ncRNA from 1 species